CUCCUUUGACGUUAGCGGCGGACGGGUGAGUAACACGUGGGUAACCUACCUAUAAGACUGGGAUAACUUCGGGAAACCGGAGCUAAUACCGGAUAAUAUUUCGAACCGCAUGGUUCGAUAGUGAAAGGUGGUUUUACUAUCACUUAUAGAUGGACCCGCGCCGUAUUAGCUAGUUGGUAAGGUAACGGCUUACCAAGGCGACGAUACGUAGCCGACCUGAGAGGGUGAUCGGCCACACUGGAACUGAGACACGGUCCAGACUCCUACGGGAGGCAGCAGCC
rnacentral:rRNA from 1 species